GAGGUCUCGCUCUGUUGCCCAGACUGGUCCUAAACUCCUGGCCUCAAGUACUCCUCCUGCUUGGGCCUUCCAAAUUGUUGGGAUCAUAGGUAUGAACCACCAUGCCCAGCCUAGAAUUAGUAUUUCUAACAAGUUCUCAAAUGAUGCUGAUGCUGAAGGGGCCACACCUUAAGAACCACUGUCCUAGUGCAUUUCUCCGAUUUUACAGAUGCAGAAACCACGGCCCAGGGAAGACGCAGCUUGAGCAAGGUCACCGGCAGUUUCCUUUGCAGUAAAAUGGGAAUAAAAAGAAAAUCUA
rnacentral:lncRNA from 1 species